GGACGAACAUCAGAGCCCGCAGCUCUCGGCCCUGCUGGUGGCAGAGGCUUUGUACUGUGUGACAAUGACCUGGAUAUGGAAGCAGAAGGGAGCUUCUAAGGACCGGAAGCUGAGAGUCUGUCUCCUGUCCCGGCCCGGACACUGGGGUUCAGGAACCAGAGCCUCAGUGUCUGCAGGAGUUGCUGGCUGUUUCCUGAUGCAGUUGGAGCAGAAUGGGAUGUCCUGGGACAACAGAGAUGUUUACCCAUCUUGACUAGUGUGGUCAUCUGAAGAAUGGCCUCCAAAGACAUCCUGAGAACCUGGGAAUGUUGCAUGGAUGAAGGAAUUUGCAAAAGUGAUUAAGUUAAGGAGCUUGAAAUUUGUGGAUCAUGCUGGGUUACCCCAGUGAGCUCUAAAUGUAAUCACAUGUGUCUUUAUGAAAGGGAGGCAGAGGGAGAUUUGCAGACAGAUGAGGAGGAAGAUGAGAAAACAAUGGACACAAGAAAGAAAAGGUGAUGCAGUUCAGGGACCCAAGCCAAUAAAUGAGGUGACCUCCAGAUGCUGGAGAAGGGAAGGAAGCAGAUGGACUCUAGAGCCCCCAAAAGAAGCAGGGCUCUGCCAUCACCUUGAUUUUGUCCCAAUGAAACCCAUUGGUCAUUUAGCUGCCAGAACUGUGUAAGCAUAAAUGUGUGUUCGUUUAAGCCAUGAAAUUUGCAGUAAUUUGUUAAAGCUGCCAUGGGAAACUAACACAACUGGAGUGGUAGUUCCGUGAAUGCAUGCAUUCACCAAACCUUAACAUGUACUCUUCGGAUACUGGCAUGAUAGGUCCAUGAAUGCAUAUGUUCACCCACACACUAAUAUAUACC
rnacentral:lncRNA from 1 species